GCUGGGCGGAGUGCCAGCGGGUGCCAACUGUGAAGACGGGUCCAUCGGGCAGCCAGCAAGGCCCUGUGGCAUCGCCGGGAACUCGCGCAGUGGCAUGGCUCUCCAGUGCCAGUCUGUCACGUGUUGAGUGAGGUCGCGCCGGGCACCCGUACCCCUCGCGGGCAAGAGCAAAGAUCCUUCUUUUACGAGAGAAAAAAACAUAUGUUGUCUGAUACUAAUUUCCUGUGUUGAUGAUUGCUGACCUAAGCUGACCUCUACAGAUAUACGUGUAUUUUGUGACCUUCCAAAUCACGUGACUUUGAAAACAGGGUCAGACGCGUAAUUGUACUAAGUGAAAGUUAACAAAAAAAAUAACAAUGGUUCUUGAGAAAGACGUCAUGCUUAUUAGAAAAUCGAGAAGAAUGUAAAAAUGGAUGAUACAGAAGGGACAGAAUGGAUGAAGAAAGUGUAUAGAUAACUCAAGAGUGAAAAUAAUAAGUGAAAAUAUAUAUACAACAGCAAAAUAAACAAAUAAAUAAAUAAACGGUAAGAUAAAGACAUGGAAUAAAAGAAUGUAAAAAUAAAACAACGAGAGAGAAAAGAAAUUAAAGGAAAUAUCAAACAUUCGUACAUUUGACAAUCAAAGAAAAAAAAGUAAUGAAAUGUAUCAACAGAGAAAAGAAAACGGUGACCGAUACCUAAAAAAAGAAAACGAAUAACCGAAGAGCAGAAAAUAAAACCGUUAAAAAUUCAAAAUUCAAAACUCUAACUGACGCUUUCUCGUAACACAAAAAAA